GAUGAACGCUGGCGGCGUGCUUAACACAUGCAAGUCGAACGAAGCACUUUAUUUGAUUUCCUUCGGGACUGAUUAUUUUGUGACUGAGUGGCGGACGGGUGAGUAACGCGUGGGUAACCUGCCUUGUACAGGGGGAUAACAGUUGGAAACGGCUGCUAAUACCGCAUAAGCGCACAGCAUCGCAUGAUGCAGUGUGAAAAACUCCGGUGGUAUAAGAUGGACCCGCGUUGGAUUAGCUAGUUGGUGAGGUAACGGCCCACCAAGGCGACGAUCCAUAGCCGACGUGUGAGGGUGACCGGCCACAUUGGGAGUGAGACACGGCGCAGAAUCCUACGGGAUGCAGCAGUGGGGAAUAUUGCACAAUGGGGGAAGGCCUGAUGCAGCGACGCCGCGUGAGCGAAGAAGUGUUUCAGUAUGUAAAGCUCUAUCAGCAGGGAAGAUAAUGACGGUACCUGAAUAAGAAGCACCGGCUAAAUACGUG
rnacentral:rRNA from 1 species